rnacentral:ncRNA from 2 species
ACUCAAUAGGUUGAAUAUGGUUGCUUAAAUGCAUUAAUAUGGGAACUCUGGUGAGAAGCCAGGACAGCCCCGCUACUGUAUGAAUGACGAAUCCCUUAAUGGAAACCACUGGGUGAAACCGGGAAGGCAAGGGAGGAGGAUGAUUUCAAGUCAGGAUACCUGCCAUGUUCAAAAGUCACAA